AGAGUUUAAUCCUGGCUCAGGAUGAACGCUAGCGGCAGGCUUAACACAUGCAAGUCGAGGGGUAUUAGUUUUCGGACUAAGAGACCGGCGCACGGGUGCGUAACGCGUAUGCAAUCUACCUUUUACAGAGGGAUAGCCCAGAGAAAUUUGGAUUAAUACCUCAUAGUAUUAUGAAAUGGCAUCAUUUUAUAAUUAAAGUCACAACGGUAAAAGAUGAGCAUGCGUCCCAUUAGCUAGUUGGUAAGGUAACGGCUUACCAAGGCUACGAUGGGUAGGGGUCCUGAGAGGGAGAUCCCCCACACUGGUACUGAGACACGGACCAGACUCCUACGGGAGGCAGCAGUGAGGAAUAUUGGACAAUGGGCGCAAGCCUGAUCCAGCCAUGCCGCGUGCAGGAUGACGGUCCUAUGGAUUGUAAACUGCUUUUUAUACGAGAAGAAACACUCCGACGUGUCGGAGCUUGACGGUAUCGUAAGAUAAGGAUCGGCUAACUCCGUGCCAGCAGCCGCGGUAA
rnacentral:rRNA from 1 species